UACGUAGGGGGCAAGCGUUUAUCAGAAUCACUGGGCUUAAAGGGCGUGUAGGCGGAAUGGUAGGUCCCUCGUGAAAGCCCCCGUCUCAAUCGGGGAAUUGCGGGGGAAACCCUCAUUCUUGAGGCAGGUAGAGGCGACUGGAACGUGUGGUGGAGCGGUGAAAUGCGUAGAUAUCACACGGAACGCCGGUGGUGAAAACGAGUCGCUGGGCCUGUCCUGACGCUGAGACGCGAAAGCGUGGGGAGCAAACAGG
rnacentral:rRNA from 1 species